rnacentral:lncRNA from 1 species
AAUUGCCAUAUCCCCAGCUGAUAGUUAGGCUGCCCAGGAUCCCAGUGUUAUAAACUCCCUAUUUUCUCUGGCCUCUUUCACAGAUGCAUCUUCAUAUACAGUGACAAUUGCAUCAGUGCCAUUACCUUUGGCUAGAAAAGCCUGAAAAGUGAAAUCAUUGGUAGCCAAAGGCAACAUAAUCAGCUGUCUUCGUUACUUAUAGAAUACAUGGGGUUUGUGUGUAGAGAAAUUGCGGAGGUGCAAAGGGCUGACUAAUGAAAGUGCAGAAGAGACUUGCACACAAGGCAUUUGCCUCAGGAUGAGGAAGUAUGGCAUUAUCUGAAUCACACUGCACUCAGAAAUCAUCCCUCCCUGCUAUUUGGUGUCCUUCAAGAAACGAAUCCCACCCACAAGGUAUUUAAUGGACUCUUGUAAGGGGCUUCAUUAACUGAGGCUUCAAGACAUCCAAAAUGCUUUGUGCAGGCCCAGAUGACAACCAACUCCAUGAAGAAAGAGAGCACAAAACUGACUCCUGGUACCUGCUUGACAAGAGUGUGAAUUCUUCACAUCAUUCCUCUCCUUUUAAGACUUAAAGUUAGGGACCAUUCUGACAUUUUGAUUCAUGUAAGAAAACUGCUAACUUGAACUCCAGAACCUGAAAGAAAGCCAGCAACCAUCUUGUCCAGGCUUGUUGCCUUUAUAGAACAUCUCUCAAUAUUUUAUAUUUCUGACUUAAUGCCAGAACUCCUUUCCCCUUCAAAACAGAACCAAAACAAGGUUCUUGUUUCAGUAAUAGCAAUGUGAGUUAGUCUGAAACUCUAAUCAUGUUGCCUUUCUGGGGAAAUCUUACUGAAAACUUAGGAGAUAAAUUGUCCAUUCUUUUAUAAAGCCUUGUAUUCAGAGCCAGUGAAUUGAGGCAGAGGGACAAUUGUGGCAAUUGACACAUGGAUCCUGAUUCUCAUUUAUUCAGUCCCCUUCUCAGUGCAGACUGGAAAAGCUCAGUUCUCAAGAUGAGCAGCUAAACCACUGGGCAUGCCCUGAGGGACACACCUGGAGCUCUUGAGAGUGACUGUGUGCAAUAACACCACCUAAUCUCUCUUGGAAAUGGACUCAACUCAAUCAGACCUUUCUGUGGCACACUUCUGGUCAGCAGACUGCUCCAGAACCUCCUUCAAGUACUUAAGCAUCUUCACCUAAUUUCCAGAGGAAAAAGAAAAUCUCUACAGUGAGCAUGUAACAAUUUCUUCCUGCCUUAGUUUGGUUUUUUAUUAAAAAAUUGCCUCCCCCAACUAUACCACUGACCCUGCUAUACUCAAUUUCUACAGCCAUGUUCCCUCUUAUGUGUCAGAAUGAGCAGAUUUAUGUUCUUGAGUUUCUGGAUUUAAAAUAAUCUGCAUGUCCAGAGCUGUACACAUGUGUGUCAUGGUGUGUUCUCACUUCUUACUGGUUCU